rnacentral:rRNA from 1 species
AGUGAACGCUGGCGGUAGGCCUAACACAUGCAAGUCGAACGGCAGCACAGUAAGAGCUUGCUCUUACGGGUGGCGAGUGGCGGACGGGUGAGGAAUACAUCGAAAUCUACUUUUUCGUGGGGGAUAACGUAGGGAAACUUACGCUAAUACCGCAUACGACCUACGGGUGAAAGCAGGGGAUCUUCGGACCUUGCGCGAUUGAAUGAGCCGAUGUCGGAUUAGCUAGUUGGCGGGGUAAAGGCCCACCAAGGCGACGAUCCGUAGCUGGUCUGAGAGGAUGAUCAGCCACACUGGAACUGAGACACGGUCCAGACUCCUACGGGAGGCAGCAGUGGGGAAUAUUGGACAAAGGGCGCAAGCCUGAUCCAGCCAUACCGCGUGGGUGAAGAAGGCCUUCGGGUUGUAAAGCCCUUUUGUUGGGAAAGAAAGGCAGCAGGUUAAUACCCCGCUGUUCUGACGGUACCCAAAGAAUAAGCACCGGCUAACUUCGUG